rnacentral:rRNA from 1 species
UGGGGAAUUUUGCACAAUGGGGGAAACCCUGAUGCAGCAACGCCGCGUGGAGGAUGAAGUCCCUUGGGAUGUAAACUCCUUUCGACCGGGACGAUAAUGACGGUACCGGUGGAAGAAGCCCCGGCUAACUCUGUGCCAGCAGCCGCGGUAAUACAGAGGGGGCAAGCGUUGUUCGGAAUUAUUGGGCGUAAAGGGUGCGUAGGCGGUGCGGUAAGUCUUUUGUGAAAUCUCCGGGCUCAACUCGGAGUCUGCAGGAGAAACUGCCGUGCUUGAGUAUGGGAGAGGUGAGUGGAAUUCCUGGUGUAGCGGUGAAAUGCGUAGAUAUCAGGAGGAACACCUGUGGCGAAAGCGGCUCACUGGACCAUAACUGACGCUGAGGCACGAAAGCUAGGGGAGCAAACAGG